CAGAAUACUUUACAACGAUAGUUUUCCUUCAUCAUCACCAACCGUCUUUUUUACAAAUUCUUCUUUGACAAAUGGAUUACAUAUGGAAUUCAGUCCUUCCUUGGACAUUGCUGAAAUAGAGGUAUUUGGAGGUAAAAAUGUAGCCCUGUGGAAAUCUACCCAUCAGUCUACAACAUAUUCUUAUGAUGGAAUAAGCUUCACCCCAGACAAGGCAGUUGAUGGUAACGGGAAUGGAGAUUGGGAUAUUCACACAUGUACACAUACACAACCUUCCGGAGAUCAUCCCACAUGGAGUGUAGACCUAGGAAAUGUGUACUACAUAAUUGCAAUAAAAAUAAAAAACAGGAAUGAUAACCAGGAUCGCUUAAAUGGUUUCAAAAUAUAUGGAACACCGGAGAAAGGAGAUCUACUCUUGAUAUACAAUGAUUCAAGCCAAACUCAUAACCGCAGUGAAAUAUUCCUUGAUUCCUCACAUAUGGUUGAUGUUCCGAUCAAAAUGAUUUCUAUAAAAGGAUCGAACACUGGUGAAAAAAUCCUUACCUUGUGUGAAGUCUACAUUUACGGUGAACUAGUAUCAAAAGAAAAAACGGAAGUUUUUGUCCUGAAAAAUGUCAAAAGAAUUCCAACUGUAGAACUGACAAUCUUGUUUGUCGUACUUGUCAGGAUGGAUGGGAAGGACCAUAUUGUUAUCCCAUUGUGUGCCAACAACCAAUUUCUUGGAAUGCACCCCACAUCUCAACAAGCCAAAAGACUUACAGAUACAAUGAGACCAUUCGAUUUUUGUGUUCUGGGGGAUAUUAUCUGUCAGAAAAUCAAGAGAGAAAAUGCACAAAGAAUGGACCACUCGAACCUCCUUUUCCAAAUUGUAUAG
rnacentral:sRNA from 1 species